CGGACGGGUGAGUAACACGUGGAUAACCUACCUAUAAGACUGGGAUAACUUCGGGAAACCGGAGCUAAUACCGGAUAAUAUAUUGAACCACAUGGUUCAAUAGUGAAAGACGGUUUUGCUGUCACUUAUAGAUGGAUCCGCGCCGCAUUAGCUAGUUGGUAAGGUAACGGCUUACCAAGGCAACGAUGCGUAGCCGACCUGAGAGGGUGAUCGGCCACACUGGGACUGAGACACGGUCCAGACUCCUACGGGAGGCAGCAGUA
rnacentral:rRNA from 1 species